CAAAACUCUUGACGGAAAUACUUUGCUCUUGAUUCAAAUACUUUUUUUAAAUGUGGCACUUUUGAAUCAAAAGCGGCUGUGCCUUUAAAAAUCAUCUUAUUAAAAUUUAAUAUAAAAAUAGUUGUUUUAAAGGUUUCGUAUUUAAUUUUCUUUUGAUUACAAUUUUUUAAAUGUAAAAGUAUUUGUCACAACCAUUUCGAAUUUAAUUUUACUGUUUCUCCAUACGAUGACAGGGAAGUUGACGCUUACAUUUUUCCAUCGAUCAUUCUAACAGAAUCACGUGUUGCGUGCGCAAAUACUUUAAUUUGGGUUUUAUAGUGAAGCUGCGCAAAAGGAGCUUACAUAGUUUGCAUUUGCAUUAGUGUGCCUGCCGCAUCGCCCGCUGCUUACGGAGGCUGUUUAAAAGGGACUUCCACAGUGAUUUUUUUUAUAUAUAAAAGACGACAUUCGCGAAAAGUCUACUCUGCAGUUUACACUAUGAGUGAGGAGUUGAUACCAUCAACUGAGGUGUCGUUAUUUGCCGAGCAAUGUGCGUUGGGAGAUGAGUCCCCUACAACGAAAAAUGUCGACAAUGAGUCCGUAGUAAUUUUGGAUAGUGAUGAACAGUUAAUUAAUUUAUUGUGUUCGUGGGAUUUGUCGUCAAAUGCAUUGAUACAGUUCAAUAGAUGUGGUUUAAAGAGUGUAGCAAUUUUGCAGAUGAUCCAUUCCCACAACAUUGACGAAAUUUUUAAUGCCAGAGAACUAAUUGCGGACAAAAUUAAGUUCCGGUACAACUUGCAAAUUACAAAUGGCGUUUAGAAAAUAAUUUCGAUAUGCUCACGUGCUGUAGUGGUGAUAGAACUAUAACAAACCUUUCAUCCAUUCGAAGCUGGCUGAGCUCUGCAAGCACACCUUCAACAUCCCCAAACAACGAACCCAACGUCGAAGAGGUUUUAAAAGAAACAGUAGCAGAUAACGACAUAAUAAAGAAGUACGAAAACUGUGGUUGCCUCCAAGAAAGUGACCAAUCUGCAAUAGUUCGCAUUAUUGUGGAUAAUUACUUAAUACGUGAUAUUAAAUUCACGAAAUACGCAAAUAAUAUAACAUCCCGAAAAAAUAUUCCCCUUACUUUAGCUACUAAGUACUGUUUCCAAUUCUGUUCUUAUUUAUUUGAAAAUAGUUUUUUCCAAAAUGAUCUUGUGGAUUGCAAAAAUUUUUCACCAAUAGAUCUUUCAAAACAUGAAUUUUAUCAGAAUUUAUGUACCAAAUUUACAAUCGGAAAUGAAGUUUUAAGUAUGAGAUACAAAAGAAGAUGAAGAUGAAAAGAAUUACUAUGUUAAAUCAAAGAAUACAGUACUGCUUAUUUUAAAAAUAUUUUUUGAUUUACAUAAUGAAAUUUUUUUGAUUUGUCAGGAGUGCAAAACUUCUUUUUCGGAAAAAUUUCAGUCUCACGAAGUUUUAGGUACCAAUAACGCAUAUUAUUUAAAAAAAAUCGAUCUCAAAUCAGUACCUUCAAAAUUGUAUACUUUAAAUGACGGCAAAAAAGUUGUACGAUUUUUUUAACAAAUAUACACAUUACCUUGUGAUCAAAACCAAGUGGAUGGUAAUAUUUUAUAUAUUUAUAUAUUUUAUACCAAUUUACAUUAAAGCUUUAAACUUUGUGUAAUAUUUAUUAAAAUAAAAAUAUAUGUAUGUA